UCCCGUGUGGUGUCAGUGGCAGCACGCCCGGCUGUUAACCGGGAGGGUCAGGUUCGAGUCCUGACACGGGAG
rnacentral:tRNA from 1 species